rnacentral:rRNA from 1 species
GACGAACGCUGGCGGCGUGCUUAACACAUGCAAGUCGAACGGAAAGGCCCUGCUUUUGUGGGGUGCUCGAGUGGCGAACGGGUGAGUAACACGUGAGUAACCUGCCCUUGACUUUGGGAUAACUUCAGGAAACUGGGGCUAAUACCGGAUAGGAGCUCCUGCUGCAUGGUGGGGGUUGGAAAGUUUCGGCGGUUGGGGAUGGACUCGCGGCUUAUCAGCUUGUUGGUGGGGUAGUGGCUUACCAAGGCUUUGACGGGUAGCCGGCCUGAGAGGGUGACCGGCCACAUGGGGACUGGGAUACGGCCCAGACUCCUACGGGAGGCAGCAGUGGGGAAUAUGGCACAAUGGGCGGAAGCCUGAUGCAGCAACGCGGCGUGCGGGAUGACGGCCUCGGGUUGUAAACCGCUUUCGCCUGUGACGAAGCGUGAGUGACGGUAAUGGGUAAAGAAGCACCGGCUAACUACGUG